rnacentral:rRNA from 1 species
UACGUAGGCAGCGAGCGUUGUUCGGAGUUGCUGGGCGUAAAGGGUGUGUAGGCGGUCCCCCAAGUUUGGUGUGAAAUCUCCCGGCUCAACCGGGAGGGUGCGCCGAAAACUGGGGGGCUAGAGUGCGGGAGGGGAGAGUGGAAUUCCUGGUGUAGCGGUGAAAUGCGUAGAUAUCAGGAGGAACACCGGUGGUGUAGACGGCUCUCUGGACCGUAACUGACGCUGAGACACGAAAGCGUGGGUAGCAAACAGG